rnacentral:rRNA from 1 species
UACGAAGGGGGCUAGCGUUGUUCGGAAUUACUGGGCGUAAAGCGCGCGCAGGCGGUCUUCCAAGUCAGUGGUGAAAGCCCGGAGCUCAACUCCGGAACUGCCAUUGAAACUGUUAGACUUGAGGACGAGAGAGGUGAGUGGAAUUCCCGGUGUAGCAGUGAAAUGCGUAGAUAUCGGGAGGAAUACCGAUGGCGAAGGCAGGUCUCUGGGCUGACACUGACGCUCAUGCACGAAAGCGUGGGGAGCAAACAGG